AAGCGCUUGCAAUCAGACUUGCACUUGGUGUUCAUCAGGGUCUCGUACCCUGUGUACUUCAUCAAGUUCAGGCCAGCAUCAGUUUGAGUGGUUAGAUAAAGGCUUAGAGAAUGUGGCCCUCUUCGGGGGACGACUUAUAGCCCGGGGUGUCAUGCGGCCUCCCGGGACUGAGGAACGCGCUUCGGCGAGGAUGAUGGCGUAAUGGUUGUCAGCGA
rnacentral:rRNA from 1 species